AGAUUGAACGCUGGCGGCAGGCCUAACACAUGCAAGUCGAGCGGUAGAGAGGUGCUUGCAUCUCUUGAGAGCGGCGGACGGGUGAGUAAUGCCUAGGAAUCUGCCUAGUGGUGGGGGAUAACGUUCGGAAACGGACGCUAAUACCGCAUACGUCCUACGGGAGAAAGCGGGGGACCUUCGGGCCUCGCGCCAUUAGAUGAGCCUAGGUCGGAUUAGCUAGUUGGUGAGGUAAUGGCUCACCAAGGCGACGAUCCGUAACUGGUCUGAGAGGAUGAUCAGUCACACUGGAACUGAGACACGGUCCAGACUCCUACGGGAGGCAGCAGUGGGGAAUAUUGGACAAUGGGCGAAAGCCUGAUCCAGCCAUGCCGCGUGUGUGAAGAAGGUCUUCGGAUUGUAAAGCACUUUAAGUGGAGGAAGGUUGUAACCUAAUACGUUGCAACUUUGACGUUACCGACAGAAUAAGCAACCGGCUAACUUCGUGCCAGCAAGCCGUA
rnacentral:rRNA from 1 species